UUCUGGCUCAGGAUUAACGCUGGCGGCGUGCCUAAUACAUGCAAGUCGAAUGGUUAGCUUGCUAACCAUGGCGAACGGGUGAGUAACACGUAGGCAACCUGUCUAAGAGACGAGGAUAACCAUUGGAAACGAUGGAUAAUACUGGAUAAGAUAUUGGGAGGCAUCUUCUGAUAUUUAAAGAUUUAUCGCUAAUAGAGGGGCCUGCGGCGCAUUAGCUAGUUGGUGAGGUAACGGCCCACCAAGGCGAUGAUGCGUAGCCGGACUGAGAGGUUGAACGGCCACAAUGGGACUGAGAACGGCCCAUACUCCUACGGGAGGCAGCAGUAGGGAAUUUUCGGCAAUGGACGAAAGUCUGACCGAGCAACGCCGCGUGAACGAAGAAGUAUUUCGGUAUGUAAAGUUCUUUUAUUUGGGAAGAAAAUACAUUGACUGUACCAAAUGAAUAAGCUCCGGCUAACUACGUGCCAGCAGCGGC
rnacentral:rRNA from 1 species